UGGGGUAUAACUCAACUAGGUAGAGUGGAGCUGUUAAGAGCAGCUUAUGUAUCGGUUCGAUUCCGAUUGCCCCAA
rnacentral:tRNA from 1 species